rnacentral:rRNA from 1 species
AUUCCAGCUCCAAUAGCGUAUAUUAAAGUUGUUGCGGUUAAAAAGCUCGUAGUUGGAUUUCUGUCGAGAACGGCCGGUCCGCACUAUGUGCGUGUAUCUGGUUCGGUCUUGGCAUCCUCUUGGAGAACGUAACAGCGCUUGAUUGCGUGGUGCGGUAUUCAAGACUUUUACUUUGAGGAAAUUAGAGUGUUCACGGCAGGCAAGCGCCUUGAAUAUAUUAGCAUGGAAUAAUAAUAUAGGAUCUCGGUUCUAUUUUGUUGGUUUCUAGAAUCAGGAUAAUGAUUAAUAGGGAUAAUUGGGGGCAUUUGUAUUAACGCGUCAGAGGUGGAAUUCUUGGAUUGCGUUACGACAAACUACUGCGAAAGCAUUUGCCAAGGAUGUUUUCAUUG